CACGUGACGUACCUCGGGCAAAGAUAAGUGGGGUGGGAGGUGGAGAGAAAAAAAAAAGCAAGACAUACUAUAGUAGAUACUAUGGGUAAACGCCGACGCGUUAGUCAAUUCCCCCGACAUUCCACGAUUGAAUUUCAAUGAAAUAAAAUUAAUAAUAAUCCAGUGGAUUAAAAAAAUCAGUGGAAGCGAAUGACGCGAUGUUUUCUCGAAAGUUCGUAAAGUAGCAGGCACCCAAGAACGGGAGGGAGAAUGAAAGAGACACUGGUGAAUGCAGUAGAGGAAGGGAGAGAUAAUGUGGAGUAGACGGAGCAGGCAAGCGCGCGAAGCGCCGACAUCAUAAUACAUGGCGUUGCCGUUGGCCUGCUUGUAUCGAGAAAUGGUGGGGAUUGAGGGGGGAACGGAGGAGGGGAUUGCAGGCUCUUUCUCUCUCACUGGCUACCUCUCUUUCAAGUACAUGUUUAAUGCUGUUUACCGAGAAAAAUGAAUAACAUAAAUGAUCAUGAACUAUUUUGAAUUUUUCAAAAGUGCCAAGAUCCCAGGCCAUUAGAUAACAUCGAGGGGGUUGAAUAUUUUGGUGGUGGAGUUGUGGAGGCAGUAGGGUAGCCAUAGUGCAAUGAUAAAUUAGGUGAUUUUAAAGACAAUGAGCGGAUGAGAUGAAAAGCCUCGGAAAAUUUUGGAGUCGGCCAUGAUUGGUGCACCAUGUAAAUAAUCCAUGGACUGCCGGAAGGAAAAUGCGCGGGAGAUGGUGGAAUACGGGCACCUCCACCGAUGCAGUUCGAAAUAUUGGGAUAAUAGCGGCCGGGGGUGGAGAGGGGAAGCGAGAAAAAAAAAAUACAUUUGUGACAGCGAUGCACGAAAAUGGCGGAUUUGGUCAAGGCGUCUGAAAAUAUGGUGGGGUGAAGCGCCGAUGAGUGUUUCUAAAUGGUUGAGAAAAGCCACGAAAAAAAUAUGUGGACGCUGUUUUGUUUCACAUCAGCACAAACAGCACUUUUAGGUGAGCACAUGGCGGACGGUACGAGUACAGAGUAGAACAGAACGGAGACGGCGCUGUUGUUGCUCCAAAAUAGAAAAUUAUGGUAAACGAUUGUGAUCUCACGCGUCGAUUGAUAGAAUCGGAGGAUUUUUUUAUUGAUUAGAUUUAUGAGGUUAUCGGGUGAUUCUGAUUUGGGGACAAAUGAGAAUGUGAAAUUGGUAAUUAUAGACGAAAAGCACUGAAACGAUUGUAGAGACCGUAUACCUCCAGGGGUGAUCAACCGAAGCCACGCGACGUUAUUUCAAUGGCGUCCACUUUGGCGUGUACGACGCAUACACGCGUUUUGUCCGACAUCUUUAUUUUUACAUUGGUCUAUUUGUUUUUGGUUGGGUAUCACUUGGGAUGUGUUGAAUCAUGAAGAGCUUGGGAAAAAAAAUGUUAUUCAUUGGAAUACCCUGAGGUCGAUGAUAAAAUGGUGACUACCACGGAAAUGCCGGCCGGCUUUUGCACACUCGUUUAUUCGUCGAGAGAGAUACACAUGUCGUUUUGCCCUUUUAAUUCGUUAAAUCAUUAAUAACUCGACGAUACUCUGUCUUCAACGCACUUAACAGGAUUGAAUUUUUUUUUUCACCGUGUAUUUAUCACCCACGCGAAGGAGAGAAUCACAAUAGAGAGGGCGAAGUGAAUGAAAAUGUAAAUGUCGGAAAAUAAAAUAGUUUAUCGAAUGGAGGUAAACCAACGUCACUGGGGCGUCCAGUAUUUUUCCCGCUUGAAUUAGGGACUUGUAAUUUCCAUGUGAGAGUAGUAAAAACCGUAAAAACAGGAGCAAUGGUGCCUCUACGAGUUGGGAAUAACAAUAGGAUAAUGAGUUGAUUGCAAAAACUUACCUCAGCCGCCCUCUUGAUCCCUUUCAGGUCGCACUUCGCGUCCCCGGACGCCUUGUCGUUUUCCGUCGCCUUCUCAACGGCAACCUCGUUGUUUUCCUUGGUACUCAUUGUUGGUUUUUUUUUUUAAUUAAAUUCAAUAUUAAUUUGUGAGAUUGAAUUAGUGUGCGUUGAUACACGGCACGAGUACAGUUGUACUUGGGUUUUAAGACUUAUUAACUUUAAUGGAAAAAACAACACGAGUAUAUCGUUCUUUUUUUUUUAAGUAUUGGUGUCGGCACGGAACGCGUAAACGUGUAAUAUGGGCGCGUAAAGAGAGAACCUCGAGGUGAGUGAGUUUAAGAAUGCGAUGCGUCCUCGCGCGACGUCGGUUUCCGGCGAAA